rnacentral:rRNA from 1 species
AUUGAACGCUGGCGGCAGGCCUAACACAUGCAAGUCGAACGGUAACAGGAAGAAGCUUGCUUCUUUGCUGACGAGUGGCGGACGGGUGAGUAAUGUCUGGGAAACUGCCUGAUGGAGGGGGAUAACUACUGGAAACGGUAGCUAAUACCGCAUAACGUCGCAAGACCAAAGAGGGGGACCUUCGGGCCUCUUGCCAUCGGAUGUGCCCAGAUGGGAUUAGCUAGUAGGUGGGGUAACGGCUCACCUAGGCGACGAUCCCUAGCUGGUCUGAGAGGAUGACCAGCCACACUGGAACUGAGACACGGUCCAGACUCCUACGGGAGGAAGCAGUGGGGAAUAUUGCACAAUGGGCGCAAGCCUGAUGCAGCCAUGCCGCGUGUAUGAAGAAGGCCUUCGGGUUGUAAAGUACUUUCAGCGGGGAGGAAGGGAGUAAAGUUAAUACCUUUGCUCAUUGGCGUUACCCGCAGAAGAAGCACCGGCUAACUCCGUG